rnacentral:rRNA from 1 species
AUGUUCAAGCUCCUGCAACAAGAGUGCUUUCCCUGUCAGUACCCACUCGGCACACAAAGCAGGACAACAUACCAUGCCAUCAGCUAUACCUACCGAUACGUCUUGAGGUACCCCAAGCCCUUGUACAGCUCAACCAGGGCUCCUCUGAUCAUCUUCUCUGCCUGGUGCACCUUUUUCUUGUUGAUGCUCAACUUCUCACCACCAUCGCCACCAUUUCCCCCAGUCUUCCUUGACUGGCUUAGCAUGUCAUCGAACAAAAGUUCACGGAUGGCGAACACGGUCCUUGAUGGUGUGGUGACCGGAAUGUUGAUCCUCACGCUCCUGCCCUGGCAAGUGACCGCCCUCCCUGAGAAUGUCCUCAGCUUGUUGGCAGCUUCUUCUCUCGGCUUCUCAAUCCUUCCCGAGUCACCCAGACCUUCGGAGAUGGGAAGAUGGUCCUCCCCUUCAUCAGUGUUCUUUGCCGUAGCAUCGUCGGCGAGCUUUUCUUGA